AUAAGGCAGUAGAUGAGGUUAAGGGUUCCUGUGGUGGUUUAUUUGGGACACUGAUUACUCACAGUAAAAUGUCUACAAAUCUUUGAAUGUAGAUAGAACAUGGUGAGUCUAAACAUGGUGAGACUGGGCAUGAUUCAGAAAAGUUGGAAGAUCUAGAGAGGGAUCUUGCAAUCUGAAGUUUCUUGUUUAGUCACUGGAGGAUCUGAACGUCUAUGACACUCUUUCGAGCUGACACAGUGAAGAACAUGGAAGGAGAACUCACCCAGUCUGCCAGGGUCACAGAUGAUCAUACUCAAGAUCUUCCUGGGGAGUCAAUGGCAAAUUUCACUGGG
rnacentral:sRNA from 1 species